AACUAAGCAGAGACCAUGAGCUGGGCAGAGGGCGGUGUCUGAGUCAGGAAGGGGUUUUGUGGCUGAAAAACUUGUAGCCACAAAAUAAUGGAGUCCUGAGCUGGACCUUGACAACAUAUGCAAGUUUCAUUUUGUCUGUACUAGACGUGUACAGUUUUGACCGACAAAAGAACAGGGGGAGGAGAAAGAAGGGGAAGGGCUAUGAGGUGAAAGGCAGAUCAGAAAUAAGCCCAGCUUGGAAGAAAGUGAGGAUCCCAACCUGGCAGAGAAAGAGGAGCUGAUGAAGGAGACUAGAGAAGGACCCGUCUGGAAAUACAGAACUUGGUCCAAGUAAAGGAGGACCUUGAAGGUUUGGUGGGUAAAUCCCCAUUUAGAAUAAAGGCCUAUUUCUUAUCCUCUGAGCUGGAUAAGCUAUUCAGGCAGAGAACAACCUUUGAAGUUAAGGGAAACUGUGCUAUCAAGCCAAACGUGAAAUAAAAUCAGAAGGGGACCCCUAAUGCAUUAUGGAAUACAACGCAGAAUUUGGCCGAAGGUGAUGCUAAUUUUCUGCUCUUGUCAAUGAAAAACAGACGCCAGGACGACUUGCUUGCAUUCAUCUGAAUCCACAUGGCAGCGUCAGAAAGCUGGUCUCAUGGAUCCAUGGAAAUAAUUUUGAUAACUUUAACUCCAUUUCCAGUUGCAGACACAGCCAGCCUGGUGAGCACAGGCAAACUGGACAUUGGAAGACCCAGCUGCACAAAGACUCCUUCCUGUGAGAGGCUUGGAGAAGACUUUGCUCUAGACACACAAGGGAGCCUGUGGGAAGGUGCCAGGGGAGCCAAGAAGAGCAAAACCAAGGAGGCAUUGUUUCCUCCAGAGCCUCAUUCAUCAACUCGCUCUGAACAGUUAGCACGCUCAGACAGUCAUCUUCUGCACCUUGCCUUUCCCUGUGUCUUGACUGAGGGCUUAUCUGAGAGCCUUUUGUUCAGGCUCAUAAUUAUUCAGUGACUCAGGAGCCCACAAGCAUUACCCACGGAGCCAGACAAGACCAGCAAGCUCUGAGGACCACCUGUUCCAAGUCAUUUCCUGUGUGGGCGGCAACUUCACAGGGCUGAAAAUACGAGUUACGAGCUUUAAAGUAUGAUGUGAAAAAUAAGUACUUUGUACUUAUUAUGGUGCCUUUCAUCUGAGUUGCUCAUAAGCCCUGCAGACAUUGCCUCAUCCAUUUUCAGAAGACUCCUCAAAGGAAGGCCCAUCAAUUCUGGCUAUGAGGAAAACAGGACCAUGUAUUGGAAGCUGAUUCAGAGCCUACACAGCCUUCUGGAGAAUCUUACCCCAGCCCUACAAGAUAUUGCCACCUAGCUGACACUGUAACUGAGUCUUCAAAAUGCCAUUCCACUGUUUUAUCAAACCAGUUGUUUCAAGAUGGAGGGAAACAUAAGACCAGUGAAUUCCACGAGCAUGGGCCCACUGCAGCACUUCAUUUGCUGUGAAGUGAGUUCCUUGAUCAGAAGCAGUUUUUUAUGGAAUACCAUGAUGGUGGAUAAGGCAAUUCUUUAAGUCCACGGAUGGUAGUUUUGGCCAGAAGCAUUGCAUGCAGGGAAGACAAAUCUGUAUCUAUGCCAUCUAUUCCAGUAAGAAAAAACACUACUUCUUCCAUGAUGGAAGUGGUCCAAUGUAAUCAACCUGCCACCAAGUCAAUCACCUGGUUGGUCUGACUUGGCAAUAGGUCUUGAUAUUGAAUGAGUCAAUAAGGAUACAUAACUGUUACUAUUCACAAAUUUUAAGAAACUACUUUGACAGCUAUAUUUCAAUAUAAUUGCCUUUAACAGAACAAAUCCACUGAGUGUGGUGACUCAUGCCUGUAAUCCUAGUACUUUGGGAGGCCGAGGCAGGUAGAUCACCUGAGGUCAGGAGUUCGAGACCAGCCUGACCAAUAUGGUGAAACCCUGUCUCUACUAAAAAUACAAACAUUAGCUGGGCAUGGUGGCAUGUGCCUGUAAUCCCAGCAACUCAGGAGGCUGAGACAGGAGAAUCUCUUGAACCCAAGUGGCAGAGGUUGCAGUGAGCCAAGAUCUCACCAUUGCACUCCAGCCUGGACAGCCUGGACAACAGAGCGAGACUCCAUCUCAAAAAACAAACAAACAAACAAACAAACAAAAGAAACAACAACAACAAAAAAAACAAAGCGAAUUAUUGGUAAAAUACUGGAUGUAUCUUGUCUUUGAUUACAAUUAUAGAUUAAUUUAGAAUGAGGCAAUAUCUUUUGUAUUUUCUUACUGGCUAGGCAAUCGGGAAUAGUCUUCUAUAAGUGGUGCUAACAAGACUAUUUUAUUUUUCUUUUCUCUCCACUCAGCCAUGUCCCCAAUAUUUUGGACCUGAGGUAUGAAAAUAAGUACCUUAUUUCUACUCCCCCCAAUUGUUCUAUUGAAUCUAGUUCUACUGAAAUAAUUACAUCUCUGUUGCUGCAUUCCAAUCAUGAGCUUGAUUGUAAUCUCAGCAUUUUAGGCACAGUAGAACAAGGAAGAGCUUUCCAUCAGAAGUGAUCGCAGGAGACACUGUUCAUUAGUUCGACUACUAUUUUUCAGAGCACACCCUGAAAGUCAGGAGUAAUACCAGGUAAUUUAGGGCUUCAAGAAUGGAUGAAACAUGGCUACAACAGUAAAGGAGCUUAAUCAAGCAAGAGAGACAGGCAUGUAGAAGGCCCUGGGAACCCAGAAAAUGGAGCAGGAGACUCUGUCUGGCACAAGGAAGGUGGCUUUAUGGAUGGAGGUACAUUUACACCUGGUCUGUAAGAAUGGGUAUGGUUUCGCAUAGUAGAAAAGGGACAAGGGAGAAAGACUGGAUACAAAAGAAGGGGAUUAGUGGUGGAGCAAUUACAAUUAGAGGAGGCAAUAAAAGGAGUGGGGACAUAGUGUAUUUUAGGGACCACAACCAGUGUCUAUGGAGCUAGAAUAAAAAUUAUCCGGGUAAGAAGAUGAAGUUAGGUGUUGCUGGAAAGGUAGGAUGCCGUGGAGACUGGACUUGGGAUUUGACAACCAGUAACUGAAAGCCAUCAAUAACUUCUAGGCAGGGGAAUAACAUGAUCAGAUGCGUGUUAGAAAGAUGACUCAGGAGACCACAUAUUUAAGGAAAACAAUGGAAUCACAAUAUCCUGGGACCAUUCUGAAUUUGGGGAAACAAAGAGAGAGAGAGAGAAAGAAAAGAAUCAAAGAUACCUUUUGAAUGCCUAGCUUAGGUGAGAGGUUUGGUGGUGACAUCCCUAAUGGGGGAAAGGUCAAGUUAGAGGCAGAGAAUCAAGGUCUGGAGAUCUAGAGAGAUCCUGAGUCUGGGAAAAUAAAGGUAUGAGUCAUCUACAUGGAAGUGAUAGUUAAAGCUAUGGGAAUGAAGGAGCUUUCCUGGGAGAACGUCUAGACUUGUGAUGUGAAGAGCCUUGAGGACAAAACCCGGGGGAGCACUAACGGGUAAGAGUGGUGCCAAGAAAGAUGAGUCAGUGAGGGAAACAAGGAGAGGAGGCAGAGGAUCCUACGGAGAAUCAAGAAAUGCUAUAAGAAAUUAGGAGGCAAACUCAGAGCAGCAAGGUGGGUGGGAGAAUUGCAAUAAGAGCUUCCAAAGUGGUUGUGGAAGCUAAGAUUAGAAAUUUGAAUUCUGGGUUGGGCACGGUGGCUCACGCCUGUAAUCCCAGCACUUUGGGAGGCUGAGGCGGGCAGAUCACCUGAGGUCCGGAGUUCGAGACCAGCCUGACCAACAUGGAGAAACCCCAUCUCUACUAAAACUACAAACUUAGCUGGGCCUGGUGGUGCAUGCCUGUAAUCCCAGCUACUCCGGAGGCUGAGGCAGGAGAAUGGCUUGAACCCAGGAAGUGGAGGUUGCUGUGAGCCGAGAUCACGCCAUUGCACUCCAGCCUGGGAAACAAGAGCGAAACUCCGUCUCAAAAAAAAAAAAAAAAAAAAGAAAGAAAGAAAGAAAAAGAAAAAAAAAAAAAAGAAAUUUGAAUUCUGGAGGUGAAGUGACAUUGUCCACAUAGGACAACAUCCGGGUGCUGUUGUGGGAAAUGUUGAGCUGAGAUGUAGGUGAAAAGAUCUAGCAAUUCAAAGUCAAGGGUGAUUCAGUUCCUCCAAGAAGAGGUUUACAGGAGGUUAUGCACUGCUUGAGAGGAGCACAUAGAUGAGAUGACAAGUCACUUGCUUUCAGAGGCCUGCAGACCAAGGUGGCACCUGCAUUUUCCCCACAAUGGAGUGGCAAGAUGAAGAAAGACCCUCCAACAUGAAAGUUUGUUUUCGGGUUGGUUUAUUGCAAUAUUGCAGUUGGUGCUCCUUGUGACUGUGAGAUAGUCAAGGCUAGCGAAAGGUAAUAUACCCAAGGUAGAGUUUGUUCAAAUCUAUUUGGUUAGAUAUGGGCCAAGCCAUAGCCUUGGCUUCCUGACCACUAAGCUCUCAGCCACCUAAGAAGCCGUCUUCUUCUGAAGCCCAUUCCUAUCAAGAGCCUAUUCCUAUCAUUUGGUACGACGGUGAGCUAUCCGGGGACACGCAUGAAGAGGCAAAUCUCUUCCCAAGCUCCAUCUUCUGUAGAAGCCAAGCUUCUGGUCCUGCUCUUAUCUUUUUCAUGAACAUUCGCCAGUCCCUGCUGUCACUCUUGCUCCCCACAGUCUCCAUCUGGCCCCUCAGCCAGGUUCCCUUUGAAAUGAUGAAGCUGAAGACUGGAGAAGUGUAUACAAUGGAAAGGAAUGGGAUCUGUAGUCAAAGAUGUGGAAUCAAACUUUGACACUUGACAAACUGAGUUGGCCAAAUGGUUUUACAUCCUUGAGUCUCAGGAUCCUUCUUUAUAAAGUAACCCAACCUCAUCAGGGUGGAGUCAUGGCAAAACAAGGUAGGGUAUAUACAUUGCUGGUGGAAUGCAAAGUGGUACAGCCACAGUGGAAAACAGUUUGAUGGUUCUUCCAAGAGUUAAAGCUACCAUACGACCCAGAAAUUCCACUCCUACCUACAUACUGAAAAGAAUUAAAGACAGAUGCUCAAACAAAUACAGGUACUCCUAUGUUCACAGCAGCAUUAUUCACAAGAGACAAGAGAUGAAAACAACCCGAACGCCCAAUAAUAGAUGAAUGGAUAAAGAAAAUGUGGUAUAUACAGACAAUGGUGUAUUAUUCAGCCCUAAAAAGGAAUGAAAUUUGGAUACAUGCUACAACGUGGACGUACCUCAAAAACAUUACACCCAGCAAAAGAAGCCAGAUGCAAAAGACCACAUACUGCAUGAUUCUAUUUAUAUGAAAUAUCUAGAAUAGGAAAAUCCACAGGAACAGAGAGUAGAUUGGUGGUUGCCAUAGGCUGCGGGAGAGGGAAUAAGGAGUGAUUUUUCAUGGCCACAGAGUUCCUUUCAGGUGAUGCAACUGUUUUGCAAGUAGAUAGAGGUAGUGGUUGUACAACAUCGUGAAUGUACUAAGUGCCAUUGAAAUGUUCACUUUUAAAAUGAUCAAGAUUAUUUUUGAAUUUCAUCUGAGUUGAAAAAAAAAUGAGUGUAUAUGAAAAUAUUCCUUAUAUGUUUUUAGUGACUUACCCAGGGUCACUCAGGUGGUUGGAAGAUGGGUGGAUAAAAGGCUAUGUAGAGAGGUCAGAGGGAGUCUGAAUCUUCUAGUGACUCAUUCUAUUUAUUUAUUAAUAAUCGAGCAAUAAACGUAUAUAUUUGUGAACAUCAUGAUGCUUUGAUACAUGUAUCCCUUGUGGAAUGGCUAAAUCAAGCUAAUUAACAUAUGCAUCACCCUACUUAUCAUAUUUUUUGGUAGUGAGAACACUUGGUAUUUACACUUUCAGCAAUUUUUAUGUAUAAAACAUACUGUUAUUGACUAGAGUCACCAUGCUGCACAAUAGAUCUCCAGAACUGAUUCCUGCUGUCUAACAGAAAUUUUGUAUCCUUUGACCAUCAUGUUUCCCAACCCUCAUCCCCAGCCUCUGGAAACCACCAUUCCACUCUGUGCUUCUACGAGUUUGACUUUUUCAGAUUCCACAUAUGAGUGAGAUCAUGUGGUAUUUGUCUGUCUGUGCCUGGCUUAUUUCACUUAACACAAUGUUCUCUCUUUUUUAAGGCUGCAUAGUAUUCCACUGGGUACAUAUACCACAUUUUCUUUAUCCAUUGAUGAAUCUUUAGGUCGAUCUCCUAACUUGGCCAUUGUAAAUAAUGCUACAAUGAGCGUGGGGGUGCAGGCAUCUCUCUGACAUACCAAUUUUAUAUCCAUCUAGUGACUCUUUCUUGACAGAGAAAAACUUUUCUCUGAACCUCCCCCAAAUUUUCCUUCAGGUCUCACUGCCCAAAACGAGGUCACAUGACUAUACCUAAAUCAGUCAUGACAGACAAAUGGAGGGGGUUGUCGUUAGACCAGUCAGGCGUGGCUAAUCCCUUUGCACCCAUACGGUGGCCAAGUGUGUGUACUUAGGAGGCACACAUUUUGUGCUGUGGAGAAAGGCUGAACUUCCUCACAAAGACUCAGAAACACUUGGCAAAUCUAAAGGACAGUCAAGAAGGAGACAUAAAACAGAUACAAAACUGGAUACAAAAUAUGGUGACUGCGUUAAGAAGACCUCCCAUUGGAGACAGCUUUACAGAAGAGAUGAGAGUAGGAGAAUGAUUUAGGGAGAGAGGUGGGUGGUGAAUACAGUGGGCCCUUGAGGAGAAAACACCUGGGAAGUCCUGGCUUGCAACUCCUACUCUGGAGGUGACCCUGGAAAAGUCUGGAUUUACCCUGAAUGAACCGAACUCUCCCCGAGCUUCAUUUUUCUUAUCUGUGAAAAAAGGGUAGAGACGCCUUCCUCACAGAGACACUGAAAGAAUUAUACUCGGAGAUGGAAAAAAAAUACUGCCUAAUUUAUGGUAAGAUUAGAGACUGUUUAGUCUCUAGUCUUGACUGUCAUCCCAAAAUGACAUGAUUAAAGAUGGGUUUUCACUUUAUAAUAAA
rnacentral:lncRNA from 1 species